rfam:Ciona intestinalis ciona0083, whole genome shotgun sequence.
AAGUUGGAAUUUGAUUGACUGGGUGUUGAAACGUACCAGUUAAUUAACUUCAACUA